rnacentral:rRNA from 1 species
AUGUUUUCUGAAUUUAACCAGCUGCGCCCUUCGAUAGCUCUACUCCAAGACACUAAACUUUACAACCCAGAUACCAUUAAACUACGCUCGAUCUUGCCACGGUUCCUAGACUCUAAUAACCAUCUAGACGCAAUCGGAUCGGCGGGAGGCAUUCUCUCUGCCACAAACUCCCGCUGCUUUUCAAUCCUAAACUGUAAACAUCAACGUUUUACCUCUACCCUUACCCUCUCCUGCCUUGCGUCGCAACACAAUAUCUUGAUCACCAAUGUCUAUGCUCCCUCUCAAAGACAUCUAAAACUAGAAUUAUUGGAAGAACUUAAACAAAUCGAGCCUCCGCCAAAUUCUCCCUGGCUUCUCAUCAGUGACUUCAACUUAAUCUGCUUCCCCAAUGAAAAGAAUAACACCAAUUUUCACCGAUCCGAAGCUAAUGCGUUCAAUGACACCAUUGAUCAUCUCGUGCUACUCGAACUCCCCCUCCUAGACCGCCAAUUCACUUGGUCAAAUAAG